CCUACGGGAGGCAGCAGUGGGGAAUAUUGCACAAUGGGCGCAAGCCUGAUGCAGCCAUGCCGCGUGUGUGAAGAAGGCCUUCGGGUUGUAAAGCACUUUCAGCGGGGAGGAAGGCGGUGAGGCUAAUAACCUCAUCGAUUGACGUUACCCGCAGAAGAAGCACCGGCUAACUCCGUGCCACCAGCCGCGGUAAUACGGAGGGUGCAAGCGUUAAUCGGAAUUACUGGGCGUAAAGCGCACGCGGGCGGUCUGUCAAGUCGGAUGUGAAAUCCCCGGGCUCAACCUGGGAACUGCAUUCGAAACUGGCAGGCUAGAGUCUUGUAGAGGGGGGUAGAAUUCCAGGGGUAGCGGUGAAAUGCGUAGAGAUCUGGAGGAAUACCGGUGGCGAAGGCGGCCCCCUGGACAAAGACUGACGCUCAGGUGCGAAAGCGUGGGGAGCAAACAGGAUUAGAUACCCGAGUAGUC
rnacentral:rRNA from 1 species